AAAUAACAAUACAGACCAUUUAAAUGUUUUGUAAUUGGAAUGGUGGGAAUUUAAACCCCUUUCAGAGUACCAAUUGGAGGGAAAGUCUGGUGCCAGCAGCCGCGGUAAUUCCAGCUCCAAUAGCGUAUAUUUGAGUUGUUGCAGUUAAAAAGCUCGUAGUUGGAUUUCUGUCUUGGUUUACGGGUACGCCUUACCAUUAAUUUGUGGGUGUUUUACUUUUGUUUAAGCCUGGACAAUAUUGGUUCCCGGUGUUUAUGUGUUUUUGUUGUUGCGUUAAGCGCAAUGAAUACAUGUAAAAUGUUGGGACUCUUUUACUUUGAGAAAAAUAGAGUGUUUCAAGCAGGCCUGUCGCCUUGAAUACUGCAGCAUGGAAUAAUAAUUUAGGACUUUGGUUCUAUUUUGUUGGUUUCUAG
rnacentral:rRNA from 1 species